GAUGAACGCUGGCGGCGUGCCUAAUACAUGCAAGUCGAGCGAACAGACGAGGAGCUUGCUCCUUUGACGUUAGCGGCGGACGGGUGAGUAACACGUGGGUAACCUACCUAUAAGACUGGGAUAACUUCGGGAAACCGGAGCUAAUACCGGAUAAUAUUUCGAACCGCAUGGUUCGAUAGUGAAAGAUGGCUUUGCUAUCACUUAUAGAUGGACCUGCGCCGUAUUAGCUAGUUGGUAAGGUAACGGCUUACCAAGGCAACGAUACGUAGCCGACCUGAGAGGGUGAUCGGCCACACUGGAACUGAGACACGGUCCAGACUCCUACGGGAGGCAGCAGUAGGGAAUCUUCCGCAAUGGGCGAAAGCCUGACGGAGCCACGCCGCGUGAGUGAUGAAGGUCUUCGGAUCGUAAAGCUCUGUUAUUAGGGAAGAACAAACGUGUAAGUAACUGUGCACGUCUUGACGGUACCUAAUCAGAAAGCCACGGCUAACUACGUG
rnacentral:rRNA from 1 species